AACAGGCACAGAGGGAAUAAAACACUACUGCACAAAACAACGUAAUCCAUUCUAAUUAUUUCAUAUGUAUUAUAAUUUAAGGAAUCCUAAUAAAGUAAACUGCAAGAGAAAACGUGGAAGAAUACAAAGAAAGAACAUCUCAGACCUCCUAGGAGGUGCAGUGAUGGGAGCCCUGGUGGCAUCCAAAGGAAGUUCCCUUUUUUCAGAAUUCUGGAAUACUCUGAGAAAAACAGCCCCCAGAAAUGAUGGACUUGAUCCCAGUGUAUGGAAUGGUGCAAUAAUGUCACGUGGGCAGUGCAGUGUCACUGAAACUGGUGGCUGGAGGUGAUAAGGAGCUCAAGUUUGGAGCAGCGAUGGAAAAUCUCCCAGGGAUGAUUGCUGCUAGGAGUGAAAAGAAAGCAUAAAGACUGGGAGGGAUGCUCUUCAAUGGAAAAUUCACUGUGUGGUCAAAGAGCAGAAGAGUCUGCAGAGAGCUCUAUUUGUGCAUUCUGCAUCGAAGCUGCCGAAUGGACCCUCCUGAGGCUAUGGAUGGACCAGCUCUUGAAGCAGUUUGACAAGGACAUGGAUGAAGUUAUCUUACGCCAGUGGCAGCGGAACGUUGAUGAAGAGCCCAGUAGCAAUUAUGAAUUGGCGGCUGCCAACAGAAUGUGGGAGUCUGCUUGUCUCAUCUGCACGUGCUGCACAUCUCUGUAACUAACCAGUUAACUUUCCUCCUCUGCAACCAAAUGCCAGCUCUGUCAUUAGAUGCUGGGCAAAGGAGAGAUUUUAAACUGAAAAAAUGCGUAUUUUUAAUUAAAAAGCUAUUUAGUACUUCAGUCAGACCAUUUCCAUGAACAAUUGCGUGGAGAGAAUUGGAAUUGUGGGUGGAAGGCAGGAGAAUGGAGUCUUGUCUGUUGGUGCUGAUUUGGCAAGAGUUGUUUAGUGACUGCACAGUCAUUUAUUGUACCUUAACCUGGUGCGUAUGCUCCGCAGUUCCUCUCUCUGCUGUUUGAUCACAGCUCUGUAGGAAUGCGAUGUUUUGGUUAAUUCCAAAUCCUUAAACACUUCAAGGUUUCUCAUGAUUUUGAGAUGUUAGAGGUGAUUGCAGGAGGAUGCUGUGGAAAAAAAUAAUUCAGUGAGUUAAUGCAGCAUCUCCAUCGCUGGAUCUUCUUGCAGGGAGAGAACUUGCAACAUCCUCAUCGGGAAUUUUUCAUGUUGAUGUUAUCAAGCCCUUUCAUUAUAGUAAGAUGAAAUGAG
rnacentral:lncRNA from 1 species